rnacentral:rRNA from 1 species
CACGUAGGACGCAAGCGUUAUCCGGAAUUACUGGGCGUAAAGGGCGCGUAGGCGGCUUAUCAAGUCAGGCGUGAAAUUCCCGGGCUCAACCUGGGGGCUGCGCUUGAUACUGAUGAGCUUGAAUGCGGGAGAGGAUAGUGGAAUUCCCAGUGUAGAGGUGAAAUUCGUAGAUAUUGGGAAGAACACCGGUGGCGAAGGCGGCUAUCUGGCCCGUAAUUGACGCUGAGGCGCGAAAGCGUGGGGAGCAAACAGG